rnacentral:tRNA from 1 species
GCGGGUGUGGUAUAACGGCUAUUAUUUCUGCCUUCCAAGCAGACGAUACGGGUUCGAUUCCCGUUACUCGCU